rnacentral:rRNA from 1 species
UACAGAGACUGCAAGCGUUAUCGAGUAUACUGGGCGUAAAGGGUGCGCAGGCGGUCGUGUGUGUCGCAGGUGUGAAAGCCCGGGGCUUAACCCCGGAAUUGCGCCUGAAACUACAUGACUAGAGCAUUGGAGAGGGUAGCGGAAUUCACGGUGUAGCAGUGAAAUGCGUAGAUAUCGUGAGGAACACCAGAGGCGAAGGCGGCUACCUGGACAAUUGCUGACGCUCAGGCACGAAAGCGUGGGGAGCAAACAGG